rnacentral:rRNA from 1 species
UACGUAGGCAGCAAGCGUUGUUCGGAAUUACUGGGCGUAAAGAGUGUGUAGGCGGUGCUCUAAGUUCGGUGUGAAAUCUCCCGGCUCAACUGGGAGGGUGCGCCGAAAACUGGAGUGCUGGAGCGCGGGAGAGGAAAGCGGAAUUCCUGGUGUAGCGGUGAAAUGCGUAGAGAUCGGGAGGAACAUCAGUGGCGAAGGCGGCCAUCUGGGACAACACUGACGCUGAAGCACGAAAGCGUGGGGAGCAAACAGG